rfam:Triticum aestivum genome assembly, contig: Triticum_aestivum_CS42_TGACv1_scaffold_221220_3B
UACGUACUCCCUCCGUCUGAAAAAACUUGUCCCAUAAAUACAUGUAUCUAGCACCAAGUUAGUGCUAGAUACAUCCAUUUGAAAGAUAAGCUUGAGACAAGUUUUUCCGGACGGAGGGAGUAGAAG